AAAACAACUACGUAGGGGGCAAGCGUUAUCCGGAUUCAUUGGGCGUAAAGCGCGUGUAGGCGGCUUGUUAAGUCAGAUGUGAAAACCGGGGGCUCAACCCGCGGCCUGCAUCUGAAACUGGCAGGCUUGAGUCUGGUAGAGGAAAGUGGAAUUCCUAGUGUAGCGGUGAAAUGCGCAGAUAUUAGGAGGAACACCAGUGGCGAAGGCGGCUUUCUGGGCCACGACUGACGCUGAGACGCGAAAGCUAGGGGAGCAAACAGG
rnacentral:rRNA from 1 species